rnacentral:tRNA from 1 species
GCUCUCGUAGCAGGACACUCGGUUCGCAAUCGAGAGGUCUGAGGUUCGAGUCCCGGCGAGGGUA